ACGGAUCGGUGGCCGAGUGGUCGAAGGCGCACGCCUGGAAAGUGUGUAGGCGGGAGACCGUCUCCAGGGUUCGAAUCCCUGUCGAUCCGCCAU
rnacentral:tRNA from 1 species